rnacentral:rRNA from 1 species
AGCGAACGCUGGCGGCAGGCUUAACACAUGCAAGUCGAACGGGCGUAGCAAUACGUCAGUGGCAGACGGGUGAGUAACGCGUGGGAACGUACCUUUUGGUUCGGAACAACCCAGGGAAACUUGGGCUAAUACCGGGAUAAGCCCUUACGGGGAAAGAUUUAUCGCCGAAAGAUCGGCCCGCGUCUGAUUAGCUAGUUGGUGUGGUAACGGCGCACCAAGGCGACGAUCAGUAGCUGGUCUGAGAGGAUGAUCAGCCACAUUGGGACUGAGACACGGCCCAAACUCCUACGGGAGGCAGCAGUGGGGAAUAUUGGACAAUGGGCGCAAGCCUGAUCCAGCCAUGCCGCGUGAGUGAUGAAGGCCCUAGGGUUAGUAAAGCUCUUUUGUGCGGGAAGAUAAUGACGGUACCGCAAGAAUAA